UCGUAGUUGCUCGAAAACCUCUCUUACCUGCGCCGUGCGCUCGGUUUUAUCCUUCGACACGUUUCCGAUCGGUCUCGUUGUCGCGUGCCCUGUCCGUAUCUACCGCGCGAACCCUGACCUUCCGCCAUUUUGGUCGCGCCGCCGCUUCCGGCUCGUCGCUAAACCCUCGGCCGCCGUUCUUACCGAUCGAGCGAUAUCGCGGCCCCCAAUCGAUCGAACUUCGCCGGGAAACAUGUUCGAAAACGCGCGGUCUGCGCGCUUCUACGUCGAUCCUCGUUCGCGCCAGUAACGCGAUGUUUUGAUCUAUUCCCGAUCCUCCUUUCGGAGGAUAUCGCGAUAAUCCACGACACUCGUCGAUAGCAAACAGAUCGAAAAAUCAAAUUGCAAUCGUUGGAGGAUCGUUGCUGAAAAUUUGUACUCUGGCAAAAGUCUGGAUAAAAUUGCAAAGAUCGAAAGACUCUCGUUGUGCGUGUAUGUGUGAUUGUUGUUAACAGAAGUCGAGAAGUGUGUUUCUGGGGGGUUGUUUGGUGUUUAGGAGGGUGGUUGAUACUGCGACGAAGUGAGUAGAGACAUGAAUCGUGCUUGCAGAGUGGAAUAGGAUUUCUAAGGGAUUCUUCUUCGUAAGAGAAGAGAACUAUCGGUUGCGAAGACUCGGCGAUUGUUCGAAAAUUCCGCACAACUUUCCUACGCGUGUAAAAUUGUUGAAUAAAACAAUUUGCGGAAUAAAUAACAGGAAGGAACGGUACAAGAAUCUUAGAAAGUUUCUUACUUUCAACAAAGCUAACAAAGUACUUUUAAAAGAGUCUUUCUAUAUUAUCUGCAAACAUUAAAAAAUCUUCACGGUCAAUCGUUAAGUUAUCAGAGAAGAACAGAUACAGUCGAAGAACCAAUAGGAAGCAAAUCCAAUUACGAUACCUUUGUACAAUUAAGAAACAAUUGCGCUUAAUGCAACGAGACAAAUGUUCCAUCGAUCAUAAUACGUCUUUGCCUCCAAUCAAGGAGUACCAAGCACUUUCUAGGAAGACCCAGUAGCCGAUUCAACGCCGCAGAGUCCAACUUGGACAUCUAGAAGUUGGAUGGCCAAGUUUGGACGCCUCGACGAAUCCGUUUCCAGUUGAAGCAGCCUCGAAAGCGUAAUUCCAACGACUAUUGACUAGUCUAUCGUUUCACGACGGCAGUAUCGUCACGAAUCUCGUGCACAAAGACCUAACCGCGAGAAAAUCGAUCGGAAAUUCAAAUAGCUGAUCAUUGUUCGACGAGAUCUGGCUCUAAAUAAAUUGCAAGCUUUCGAUCGGGUAUCUGUUCGUUAAGACUCGUGCAACGAAGGGAGUCGUCGAAAGGACUGAUCAACAGGUUGCUGAUCUAGAUAGAGCUACACCACGGGAUUGUUGGUUAACUUCCUCUCAAGAGGAAGUCCAAGGAACUCGAGAUCGAGAGUUCUAUCUUCUGGCACGAGAGUUCCUCGUCUCUUGCUGUCCGAUCGAGAAGAAAACGAGGCCUAGUACCACAGAGGGAUUAGAUUGGCAAGUUGCCGGGUGAUAAUCCGAGUAUUGCGGGUUCUAAGGAUGGAAAUUUGGCGGAGACGAAGUUUGGACGAACACGUGCAGUGAAAGGUUAACUCGUUCGUCGUGAAGUUUCACAGUGCACCGUAGGAAGGAAUUUUAGCGUGAUUGAUCGGUAAUUAUUUCUUUUGUCGUAGCGAGGACGAAUAAAGUGUCUUAAACUGGAGAUUAGGAGAUUUUAGCACGAACGAUCGAUAACUCUUUUCUCCGCGAGAAUCUAAGUGUUUUGUACUAUUGAAAAAUUAAAGAAAUGUUCUGAAUGAAAAAUAGCUUCGGAUUAGGCGAUAACUUUUUUUUCCUUUGAGGACGAGCAAAGUGUCUUGGUCUUGGGAUUAGGAAAUCGAGAUCGAGAAACGUUCUAAAUGAAAAGUAAAUUAAUCGAUAAUAGUUCGAUGAUUCAUAAGGUGAUUUUUCUUCGUUUUUCCUUUUUUUUUAUCGUAGAGAUACGACGAUCAUUAGAGUAGAAAAGAAAGAAUUAGGUUAGCGAGGGAAUUGAGAUAACCAGGCGAGAAAACCGGUUUGAAAAGUGUCGUAUCGAGGAUCGUAGCGUAAAAUCGUGGAAUAAAUCACCGGCUUAGUUUGUUCAAAGCCUAUUCAGACGCAACCUGAUAAUAAGCCGUAUUGACAUUUCGAAGAUAACGAAUAAUAUAUCGUUGACACGAUAAAGAGGAGUCGAUUUGUAGAAAAAUAUAACAACAACGGAUUCGAUUUAAAGUUCCGGGAUUGAAUGAAAUCUUCAUGAACCGAUAGAGAAUCGCCGUCUCGAUGUAAUAUUGAUUGUUUUUUUAAAUCAGAAAUCCUUAUUUCAGUGAUCGUGCUUCUAUGAAACGUUCCUUUUCUUCGGAUCAUUUUAUUCAAUGGACAUCGUACAGCACGAGGCGAAGCUUUUCACAAUGGAAAUAAGAUUCCAAUCGCAACAUUGUUAGUAGAAACAUAUUUCUUCCAUUAAUCAAAGAUCGAAUCAAAAGAGGAGUUCGUUGAUCAAAAGUGUAAUAAAAUCGAGUGAAAUAUCGUAUCGGGAAGUUAAACCGCGAUCGCGAAACUUCCACUUCAAUCGAGUCUAACGAACUCGAACAACUUCUGGAAUUAAGGGCUGCAACAUCGUUGAAGAUUAAACUCAAAGGCCACGAAUUUAUUGUUCCCAAGGAAUACCACGAGCUUUCUCGUAAAAUAAGAAACUCGAGAUUAUUGAAGAUAAUAAAGGAAGGAAUUUUAAGACUUCGUAAAAGUAUACUCCGUUGUAAUCAGGAUUAAAUACAGCUUAUACAUACUUUCUACCCGCGUAGAAUUAUUGCAAUCAAUUAUAAAUUUUUCUAAUUUGAUAACUCACUUUUCCCAGCGAAGCAUUCUCGUUAAUUUGUAUAAUAUUCUCGUUGUUUGUGCAAACAAAUUUUUCGAAAUAGAAUUUCCAAAUUUUCAGAAGUUAUUUAUUUAAUUAUUACUUUUCGAAGCAAAAGAGUUUCUGUAAUUAAAAGUAACUAAUAAUUAAAAUUAAAAUUUCACUGAAAGCCAGUGUGCGUACAGGUCAUUGAUUUCAGCGUAAGACAAUUAUACUAAAUUACGAUGCAAGGGUAGCUUGCAAAGAUUAGAAAUUUUUCAUGUUCGUGGUAGAAGAAAGAAAAAAGAAAGUAGAAGGUGAAGAAAGAUCAAAGAUUUAAUAGAUCGACGAAAGAGAGACAGAAAAGUGUAAAAGUUCAGAGAACUUUGUUAACGCUACAACGGUGAAUUACGAAAGCUUCCUAGUACUUUGCAAAAGCUGGGUAAGCAAGUUGAGGAGGUUUACGGAACUUCACGAAAGGUACAGAAGCGUGCUAACGAUUCUCAGAGAAUUUCACAAAAGCUAUAGAGAUAAGUUAAGGAAGCUUACUGUAAUCUGUAAAAGAUUAAGGGAGCGAGCAAGAAAAGUAUGCAGUAUUUUGUCGUAAAAUGUUUCAAAGGUUACGGAAGUAAAUCAUAGUACUCUACAAAAGCUCCAAAAGUAAAUUAAGAAAGUCUCAAAACAUACGAAAAUCUAUAAAAGUGUAUUAGAAACUGCUAGAGAAUUACGUUUAAGUCGAAGAAGAAGCAAAUCGAGGAAGCCUACGCUAUUCUGAGAAAGCAACAAGAAAAUCAAAUUAAAGAGAUCACUUUGCAAAAGCUAUAGAAAAUUCUUAUAGAAUAGCAUCAUCUAAGAAAUGUUCGCGAAAGUUUGCAAAAUCUAUUGCUAGGAGUGAACAAUAGAAGCAAGAUUAAAAACCUUCGCACGAUUCUACAAAAUCUAAAAAAGUGAACUAUAAGAGUUCACGAACGUCCGCGUGCACAAUUAUACAAACUUUACGAAACCAACGAACGAAAGCUUACAGCGUUCUACAGAACCUCGCUAGAACCAACCUAUAAGAAGCUUGCAAAUUGUAUAGAAGCUUCAUAAGCAAAAAAGGCGAUAGAACAGUAGAGAAAUUGAGUAUCGAAUCGCGUUAAAAGAUCGAUCUAGCACCCUGACCCAACGUAAUAAUCUUCUUGACCAACUAAAAGCAAGGUGUUUAACUACGAUCGAAUGUGAGUGUUCUGUGUGAGUUCCUAGAACCCAACCAUAAGAAGCUUGCAAACCUUAGAGAAGCAGGAAAACCAAUAACAGAACACCGCUGAAACUGGCUAUCGAUCCACGUUAAAAAAGGUCAAUCUGCCAACCAAAUCCAAGGAAAUAAUCUACUUAAUUAAUUAGAAACAAAGCGUUUGGCUAUAAUCGAAAGUGAGUGCCCUGACCCUGCAACCGACUGAGAACUUUCGUCGAUUGUCUUGCCGAAGAUCUACCGGUCGCGUGAUUCAUCGAGGCCACCGGUUGAGCAGGUCAGGGACGCGAGUUCUGCGGCUUCAGGCCGGUGCACAUCCAACCUGGAUUUCUACACGAUUUAACGCGCGUCGGGCUUCGGGGACGCUGUGAGCGUGUCGGCGUGCAGACGGCCCGGCAUUAUCUCUGCAACGCGACGAUAAAGUUCCGCACGAGGGACACGAUAAAAGCACGCGGGUUCUGCUUGAUUAAUCGCGCGUCUCUAUUCACCGAUUCUGUUCUCGUUAGGACAAUCCGUGCUGGACCGAGCGCAACGAAAUACAGCGAGGACGUUGCUCGGGGUUGGAAAGUGAGAAUAAUAAAUACAGGAGGUGAAUCUUCCGAUGGCAGGUGAAUUGUGAAGUGAAACGUGGAAUUGGAGGAAGUGGGAAGCAGUUGGGAUUGGAGAAACUGCAAAGUGAGAAGAGCAGAGACGUGUCCACGAAGAGCCGGUGAAAUACAACACAAACUACACUACGAAUCUUCUAACGGUACCUCCAACAGCAAACGUUAACGCAAAUCCUACAAACAAACACGAGUCAAACUCGAACGAAAUUCCAGGGAAAGCGAAGAAGCGUCCACCAAGGGGCGGUCGAUUGCAAACAAUUUCGCAACAGCAACGACGCGACAAAUUACCGUACGGUCGAGGAGGGAAAAAAAAACACGAGGAAAUUAGUCCCGUUCGGAGAAUGUGUACGGUGUUGUCGCGUACGAGCUGCGAUGCCCGAGAGGGUAGCUGGAGGGGGUGGUCGUGGCGAAAAAAGGGGCGCAGUCGCGGCGAACGGCCACCCCCGCGGACACGCUUGCUCGCGCGGCAGCUUGGUAGUCUCGGUCAGUCGUUGGCGGCCGAAAGUCGUGCGAAACAGGAAACCGAUGGAGGGAAGAGAGGCAGAGAUGGAGUGAAGACAGAUCGAACGAUUUACUCGAGAAACGGUUCACGACAUCGACAAGCACGUGCUCCGAGCGUAAAAUAAGAAGAAAGAGAAAGGGAAAUAUGUUGCACAAGCAUGGACGGAGGAAAAGCGGAGGAGGAAACGAAGAUCAAGGACAUCGGAAAGGUUCUGGCGGGUCUUGGCACUGGAAGAAUUCACAGAUGUGCAGUGUAUAAUCGUGGAUCUUGCAAUGCCAUCACUUGCUGGAUACCGAUUCAUCGUGGACCAUCGAUCAUACUGAUAAUAAUUUAUAAUUAUUUUCGAAAUCGUUCGCAUCUUUGGCAAAUGUUUCUUCUUUUCAGAGAAAGGACAACUUAACUAGUUAAACGAAAAAGACGAAUUAUAUUGUUAUUUGGACUGGCCUAUUCGAAUCGUUAUUUGGAUUAUUUACUUUCGAUACAAUCAGUUUUCUAUUUAACUUUGCUAUUUUUUCUCGAUAAUUUUCGAUAGUCAAAUUCCUCUUGUUUGUUCAUAAGAUGAAAGUAAGAUCGAAAUAUAAAUGUUCGAAAAUUGCAGCAGAGUUAACUUCACGUUAUCAGGAUCUAACAUUUUCAGUGGUAUCAACCUGGGAAAAUAAAUUACAUCAUAUUGCGGGAACCGAGAUCGACUUAAUGGAGAUUCAUUCGUCUUUGUUAACUUUUAAUUUCGUGGGUACAGAAGUCUGUAAAAUGAUCUAUAACGAGGAACCCCAAUUAACAGAUUUCGAUGGCGAACCACUGUUGAAUUCUUCGAUUUUUUAGUAUAUUAAUGUCUUAAAUAUAUAUAAAGUGAAUGGUUCCUUUUAAUAAAAUUUUCUAUUAAUUCUGAAUGGCAUUACAAAUGUAUAAUAAUUUAUAACACCCUUUAUUUUCAUUUUCAAACAAUUACAAAGCUCUACCAUCUCAGUUCAAUCAAAUUUCAAAUGCAUUAGCAAACUCUAAA